AUAAAGUCAAAUGCAGUUUGUCGUUUGAUGUAAUUUGGAGAUAUAUACUUAGUUGAAAAUGCAGCAGUUGUAAUUAUAUAUAUAUCCUGUUUGGUUGGAUAUAGUAGAAAAUGUUGUACCUAUAAAUAAUUUAUUUGGUUACAUACAGUUGAGAAAUAUUUUUUAAAAUUUUAUCAUUUCAUAUAUAUAUAUAUAUAUAGAGUAGGGCUACUGUGCUAUUAGGAGCACAGCAGUCCUUGUGCUCCUAACUUUCUAACCACCCACCAGUUUGAUGGAUGGUUAGAAUGAGAGAGGGUGGAU
rnacentral:lncRNA from 1 species